rnacentral:lncRNA from 1 species
GGGAACAGCACAAUUCCAGUCUCCCAGGGCCACAGAGAAUGGGCUCCACAUGCAAGCAGCUUCUCCAGAUUUAAUUUCCCCCUUCUAUAUGUCAUCAUUUUUGUCAAAUGACAAAGAAUGUUUUGAAAGAAAAGACCAUUCCUGUUGUCUCCCCGUAGACUGAUGCUUAGUAUUCCUUAGUGCUCUAGAUCAGAAAGUCAGCUCAGAUAUGUAAUGGGGGCAUGGAGCACUUUGAACAGGAAGAUUAGUGCUUGUGCCGGAUUGCCCGUUGGACAAGGAGAAAACAAUUUUCUAAAUUUCUUCCAAAUCCGUAAUCUGACUGCCCUUUGUUCCUGCUUGACUCAGCUGCUUCUCAGCUCUGGGGCCACCUUGCCUGAUUCUGACUGAAGCCAUGAAUAGAAGUCUGCUGAGCUUGGGGGGCGCAGGGGCCUGAGCAGGACUCCCGGACCCCUGGCCUCACCUGGUCUUGGAAUUGUGAGAAGUUGAGAGCCGUAUGUGUGUUUCAAGUGACCUCCUAAAAACCUCCAACAAAGGGAGCCUUUAUUGGGCUCCCAAAAAGCGAUCAAAUACAGUGACCCAGCUGGUUCUUGCUUGCCAAGCUCCUUCUCCAGGUCCUGGGGGACACUGACACGGUGCGAAUGUGGUAUAUAGAGAAAAACCAAGGAGUUCUGGAAGGAGGGAUGGUGAUUUUCUCCACCCUUAGAAUUCUCCUCUGCAGGACAAUUGUGUCUUAGGAAGAAAACUACUGUGGUCAGCACAGUGCCAUCCAUGACCAGUAGGAAGGCAAGGGGGUACCUGGUAGGAAGGCAAGGGGGUAUCUGGGCUGGGGAGAGAUGCUUCCCCUCCUUCAGCUGCUAAGAUGUCUUCGUGACCCCUCUGGGAUGCUUCCAGAGCUCACAUUUUAAAACACACAUAAAGCGUGUGUUGGCACGUUGCACACCGUAGAACCUGAGAUAUACCCUCUCCCCAGUUGCCAUUAAAAUAUCCCAAAACACGCCUACACCUGGAGGGACCCUCAUUCACUGUUUUAUUCAGGGUGGCAGAUGGAGAAGCAUGUCCCUUGAGACACACCAACUGCCCUCUUAUGCAGAAGAAGACAUCUUGCCUCAAGGAAGGCACGACAGCACUCUUGCCUCACCUGUCCAUCCCUAACUCUGGGACACAGGAGCUUCGCCAGACCUAAGCAGACCUCUCCCCACUCCCCAGAAACUGGCUUCUGAGGGGGAGAGGAUGGUGCCCUGCCCCCAUCAGGCCAUCUCUCCCCAUCAAUCAGAGAGGACUAGUGCUGAUGGACGCACAGCCAGGUCAUAGGUACAGGUGUACUGCAUCCUGGGAAAGGUGUUCUAGACAUGAGCACCCCAGCCACCUUCUCCCUCCCCACCCCAAAGUUCUAAUCAUCACUUCCAUUUUCUCCUCAGAGGGGCUGCUUUGGUGAAUGGAAAACCCUUUACUCUGUUGGGCACCCUUAAGGGUUCAGACAUGCAAGCUCAGACCUACAGAGAAGUACAUUCACCUGUUAAUGGGAUGGGAGUGGGGGAAGAAGCAGGGAUGCGGCAUGGGGGAGGGGCACUGGUGAUGUUUCUGAAGACUGUAUGUGGCUCAGUGUGAACCCCUCGUUGAAGCAGCCAAGUCUACAGAAGAGAGCAAGAAAUGUCUGGUGGGACUGGCUUGUCUGGGGAAAAUGGCUGUGAUUCACAUUGGUUAACAUGGGUGGCAUGAAUUCAAAGAGAAGUCUGAGGCCAGGGCACAGUGAGCAGGCCCUUUCCGGAAACUGGCGGCAAGACACAGGUGAGCUUGGGCUUCUGUAGAUCUGUGGCCUGGAGCACUGCUGAUGUGAUAAUGUGACCCCACGAGCUGCAGAUGACACAUGGCCCCCCUCCCAGGAUGGGCAGGAUGGGCGCAUCCAGAAGACACCCCCGGCACGGCAGCCUCGCUGGUGACAGGCCUGUCUUAACAGAGCUCCGUCACUUACAUGUUUUGAGAAGUGCUAAAUUGCAAUCAUGCAAAUAUGUUAUACAUCCCAUUUCUUAAUCCGUGUAACGGAAAGAAAUGCAAAUGAAUGCACCCGGCAGAUACUGUGACUGGAUCACGUCUUUUCUCAAUCGCCAGAGUCCUCUGCAGAUAGACAUCGAGACCCCAGGAAUGUCAUUACCUCAGGUCCCAACAUUCUCGCUAUACUAACUUGUACCGCAACUUGCUCAGCUGACCUCUGGGCCGCCAGGGCAAUGCGCCACCUGCCGCCUCUGACCGGCUCACAG